rnacentral:rRNA from 1 species
AAUAGAUACCCUGGUAGUCCAUGCCGUAAACGAUGUCUACUAGCCGUUGGGGCCCUUGAGGCUUUAGUGGCGCAGCUAACGCGAUAAGUAGACCGCCUGGGGAGUACGGUCGCAAGGCUAAAACUCAAAUGAAUUGACGGGGGCCCGCACAAGCGGUGGAGCAUGUGGUUUAAUUCGAUGCAACGCGAAGAACCUUACCUGGCCUUGACAUACAGAGAACUUUCCAGAGAUGGAUUGGUGCCUUCGGGAACUCUGAUACAGGUGCUGCAUGGCUGUCGUCAGCUCGUGUCGUGAGAUGUUGGGUUAAGUCCCGCAACGAGCGCAACCCUUUUCCUUAUUUGCCAGCACUUCGGGUGGGAACUUUAAGGAUACUGCCAGUGACAAACUGGAGGAAGGCGGGGACGACGUCAAGUCAUCAUGGCCCUUAGGCCAGGGCUACACACGUGCUACAAUGGUCGGUACAAAGGGUUGCUACUGCGCGAGCAGAUGCUAAUCUCAAAAAGCCGAUCGUAGUCCGGAUCGC